GAAUUCCUUUUCCUCUUCUUCUUCUUCAAAGAAUGAGAGAAGAUUCCAGAGACAGAGCAAGAGACGGGUAACACCACCAUCGCAUGAUGCUUCACAGUACACGACAGAGAGACCAAGCGGCGAGAGAGAGAGAGAGAGACAGAAAGGAGGGGGUGGAGAGACGACGGGGGCACAGUGAUGGCGGUGUCGUUGAGGGUUUGUGGACUUUUCCGAUCUCUUCAUCUGGUGGUGUGCUUUUUGAUUGAUUAGAUCUUGCCGCUGCUGUUACAUUUCUUCCGGCGAGUUCUCCGGCGAAGGUAUGGAAGACGGAAGCGCAUCAAGACAGAGUUCUUCAACUACCUAUGCCACAAUGAUUGUGAAGAUAGCGAUGAUCAUGGCUUGAAAAAACAUCGAAUUGAGUGAGUGGAAUUUAAGAUGACCUCAUCAGAUGUUGUGUAAGAGUAACGGAUUAAGGAAACAAAGUAGCGGGUGUGACAUCCUCCGGGUUCCGUUGAUGAAUUAGUCACUGUUCUUGACGCAAGCCCUACUUUUGAGUUUUGUUUACGGUUCCUGUUUUAGUACUAAGGAGGCAUGCUAUGAAUAUUUAUCUGAUAGCCCUUUUGAAUGGUGGCACAAGGGUGCUUGCUUCUUAUUCAUGUGGGAUGGAAGAGUGAGCAAUCUUUUCCUCAAAUGGUUCACAGCAUAUAUAUGGAGGUAGCAAGAAUGGCUUUAUAAAUAUAUGGAUCUACAUGGUGGAGGAUCAUUAGUUGCUUUUCAAAAUUACAAGGAGUGGCAUCAGAUUUUCUCGACACUCCGAUCGGGCAAAUACUGGAGAGGCUGCAAGCACUUGGAAUUUCCUGAACCUAGAACCAUCCAUAUUUAGCCGGCUGUUGCUGAAUUUGUUUAUUAGUCUUUGCAGAUGCUCACGAGAUGAUGAUCAUGGAGAGAUGGUUUCAAAGAAAAAGAACCCAUGAAGAGAUUGCGAACUUGGAGAAGAAGCAUUGAGAAGGGCGGGCAAUACUUGAAGUGUAUUUUAGAAGGCGAAUUAUAGUGGUGGUGUUAAAAAAAACACAGGUUUAGGUUGAAAUACUUUGGCGUAAUCUGUUGGGCAUGAAAGCUGGCUAGACUCUAAUUUUUUUUAUGGAUAUUACAUAACAUUUAUGGAUUUUGUAUAGUAAACUCUUGAAACAGAGUGUUAUUUUCAAUU
rnacentral:lncRNA from 1 species